AAACCAAAGUAUAAAAGAAAAUCUAGCCCCUUCUUCAGGGCCGAGAGAACUUUGAGCAUUAGCCGUCUCUUGGCUGCCGGCUAAACAAGCGGACUCAAUUCGUUUCCAAGUGUGGCGUUUUCUAUAACUCGCUCAGCAGGACUGGUGGUGUUUUUGCAAGAAGAGAAACGCAGAGAAAAGACCACGUGAGGACUCAGUUGAGAAGACGGUCGUCAGCAAGCCAAGGAGAGAGACCCUAGGAGAAACCAGCCUGCUGGGACCUGGAUCUGAUACUUUCAGCCUCCAGAACUGUUAGACAAGAUAUCAAGGCAUGAAACUCCCAAGUAUUGCGUCAUUGACAACUGAAAUUGCCUAAGUGUGAGAUCAUACUUCUGCCCGAAAACUUGCAAGAAUAUCUUUGGCAUGGAUGUCAGUGGGAUGACCAGAUAAAAUGGAGCCAAUGAGAUCAGAAAAUGAUCAAAAUUUGGCAAAAUGGGAAGCAAGACGCAAUUUGCAAACAGGGAAAUCAAACAGUGCCACAUCAAAAUAAGAGGGAAGGAAAUCCAGCAGCUAAGCAGGCCACACAGUUCCCAGAUAGAGGUAAACUUCUUUUCUGGCCGAAGCCCUGGUUACGGGAAACAGUGUCUUCUGAAACGACCAGGUGUGGGGAAAGCGUCAGCAUGACUAGACAUACCUGGCUCACCUGUUGAACAAGCCCCAGUGAACCAGAUUCAGGAAUAUCAGCAGGGAGAGGAGCUUCUGGGGAAAAUCCCAACAUGCAGGGCAUAAGCUGCUUUCUGUCUCCUACAGUUUUGUGCAAAGUACAAUGCGUGAAUAACAGAGAGUAGGAAGGACAAUGAAAACAGCACGAGAGAUGAAGCGACUGAAUGUCAUCGGAAUUGUGCCCAUUUCUCCAAGCUUUUGGGCUGAUGUGGUACUGUUUCUUAAUGCAUCAUUUAUUUGUCUAAUAUAUCAUUCAAAUAUUUAUCGAGGGCCAACUAUGUUCAAGGCUGCGGGGAUAUGACAAGCAAGGAUGUUGUUUUCAUGAAACUUACAUUCUAGGAUAGACAGAUAGACAAUGAUGAGAUAGACAAUGGCAGACAGACAAUGAUGAGAUAAACAUAUAUAUGAGUUGUUAAGUAGUGGUAAGACCUAUGAAGACAAAAGAAACUAGUUAAGAGGCAAAAAGUGCUACAGGGAUACAAGUUUUCAUAAGAAAGUCAGAUAAGUCCCCUCUGAACAAGCAACGUUUGGAUAGAGGCCUAAAAGAAGGGAGUGAGUGAGCCAGACAGCUAGGAGAAGACAUCCCAGAGAGAGGGAACUAUCAGUGUGAAAUCCCUAAGACUGGUAUGUGCUUGUGUCCCAGGAACAUUAAGGAGGCUGGAGUGGCUGCAAAGAGGCAGGAGGGGAGCAGUAGGAGACAAAGACAGAGAGGCUACAGUGGCAAUCAAAGCAUGUCAGACAGCGCUUAAACACUCAGGACAUUAUCAUUAUAAGAAUUUCUACCUUAUUCUCUGAAUAAGAUGAGAAGCCACUGGGGACUUUUAAGAAAAGAAAUCACUGGCUUCUGUGCAGAAAAGAAACAAGAGUGAAAACAGGAGGAAAAAAAAAAGUCACUAGGAGGCUAGUGCAAUAAUCCAAGUGAGAAAUGGACCAGAAUGGUAGCAGUGGAGAUGGUGAGGAGUGUUGGACAUUGGGUACACAACAAAGGCAGUAGUGAAGAAUGAUGUCAAGAUGUGUCGGCUUAUAUGACUGCAAGAAUGGAGUUAUUUACUGAGAUGGGGACAGGCAGGUUAGAAGAUAUUUCAUUUGUAUUAUGUUUUAGGUGUCCACUAGAUAUAAACUAGGUGUUACAUAUCAUCACCCCGACAUGCUGUGACUCCUUACUCUGUGCAAAUUUCUGUGCAAAAGCUUUCUGACUUCAUAGGAUGUCUGAAUUUGAUUAAUAUUCAUCUUUCACACUGGAGUGCAGUUGCAUGAGAGCAGUGGCUAUUUCGAUCUCUCUCUGUGUAUUCCUAGCACCAAGCACAGUGCCUGACGAAGUACACACUCAGUGACUAGUGAAUGGAUGACUGAAUGAAAGAGUGAAGAAGUGAGACUUCCCAACAACUCCAUACAGAACUGGACCAACUGCUUCCACAGCUCAUCUUGGUCAAGUCUGAUUCCCAUAGGUGGCAUGACCGAUGGAGAUGCCCCUGGCAUCAAUGCCUCCUCUUUCCCUUUGGUCCAGGUCACACCUUCAAUUCAAGGUUCCUAAAUGCUGAUAUUAUUUUACUGUUACAAAAUUUAGGAGAAUAUGAAAAAAAUACAUUUUCUUCAUAAUAUUAUAGAUUAAUUUCCUCAAUUUUAUGCCACUAUGGUGGCCUGAUCUUAAAUUUUCCAUACAGGUCUACUUGAAAAUUUACUCUAGGGUUCUUUUGUGAUCUCACUCAACCUGCCAGACCAUCCUAGCUCUACAGUUUGCACCCCCAACAUCAUACUCUGAAACCCUCUCAUCCUUGCGCUAGCUUUAUUUGUAGUCAGAGUAGUUUGUGGUCUAUAUUUCAGCGCAAGGAAAACUCUACUAUCCAUUUUCUAAGGCACAAGUUGAUCUUAUGCUUAAGAGUCCAGCACAAAGACGAAUUUCUCUGCAUUGACUUUCCCUUUUCAUGAGCUCUUCAAUAAAAUGGGUUAACAAAUGAAGCCGUUACUUUCAAUUAAUAUUUAUUCAAAACAGAAUGAUCUCUAUGUGACUAGCUGCACCUGGGAAGGAAGGUUAACAUAAGGGCAUUUAUAUUAAAAGUCAGGAGUGGAGUCCUGAAGGGUCAAUGUGAGAGCAACAAGGUUGACCUCACCAUUUCCCCAGUUGGUAACCCUACAUAAGAUAUAGGUAUUAGGCAGUACACAGUGUGAUUCCUGGUGUUUUUUUUUAAAAAAGUUCAUCUUGCUAUUUAGAGGCAAAGACAUG
rnacentral:lncRNA from 10 species